UAGCAAUGUAGAGUAAAUUAUCCUGAACAUAAACAUGGAGGAAGUUCUUGAGUUUGUAUUAACAGCAAAAGUUAUUCACGUCAAAUUAAAACUCAAAUAUACUUAGUUUAUCAAUUGGAAAUGGAGGCUCUUCUCUAAUAUAUGUCUGUUGCAAAUAAGGGCUUCUUUGAACUUGACAUGUCCCUACCAAUAUUUUAACGGAUCUCUAGCGAUCGUGCUAUUUUAACUCCACAUAAUGUUACCAGUAAUGUCUCUGCAGGUUGCCAGGUUUGUGUGUUUUCUGGGAAAAGUGGGUUAUUAUGAUAAAAGCUGUGUUCCAAAUCAGGGGCCAUAUCGUUUUCAUCCAUUUGAAGACUGAAUGCAUCACAGCGGAGCAACAAGACUGUACCAUUUCAAAGGCUCAUUCAAAUGGGGCCAAUAAAUGCAGCGUUCUUUUCCCGAAUUUGGAGGAUCAAACAGCUGGAUCCUUCGCAGCCCAACCUAUCCCAAGAUUCAUUGCAUGUUGGUGAUGAUUACACUUUUAAAUGACAAUUCUGGAGAAAAUGAGCAUGCUGGACAAGGUGACUCUCCUGUGAGCAAAAACAAAAGAAAAAAGAAAAAAAGGGACAAUUAAAAAAAUAGCAAUGUCCAGGGUCAGGAGAGGCCAUGAGUGGGGAAACCCACUGCUGCAACUUGGCCUCGGUUUGUCCUCAUGGAUGACGUGUUGGGACAGAGGCAUUCCACCACACCCACUGUCCUAAUUACCUCCAUCCCUGAGGACACACCAGGGCCAAGUACAGCAGUGGAUGAC